rnacentral:rRNA from 1 species
UGGCUCAGGAUGAACGCUAGCGACAGGCCUAACACAUGCAAGUCGAGGGGCAGCGCGGAGUAGCAAUACGUUUGGCGGCGACCGGCGCACGGGUGAGUAACACGUAUGCCAACCAACCCAGUAACAGGGGGGAUAACCCGGAGAAAUCCGGACUAAUACCGCAUAAGACCACGAUAUCGCAUGAUAGUAGAGGUCAAAUAUUUAUAGGUUAUGGACGGGCAUGCGUCUGAUUAGCUGGUUGGCGGGGUAACGGCCCACCAAGGCAUCGAUCAGUAGGGGUUCUGAGAGGAAGGUCCCCACAUUGGAACUGAGACACGGUCCAAACUCCUACGGGAGGCAGCAGUGAGGAAUAUUGGUCAAUGGGCGAAAGCCUGAACCAGCCAUGUCGCGUGAAGGAUAGAAGGUCCUAUGGAUUGUAAACUUCUUUUGCAGGAGGGUAAAGUGAGCUACGUGUAGUUCAUUGCAAGUACCCUGCGAAUAAGCAUCGGCUAACUCCGUGCCAGCAGCAGC